rnacentral:rRNA from 1 species
ACGAACGCUGGCGGCGUGCUUAACACCUGCAAGUCGAACGGAAAGGCCCUGCUUUUGUGGGGUGCUCGAGUGGCGAACGGGUGAGUAACACGUGAGUAUCCUGCCCUUGACUUUGGGAUAACUUCAGGAAACUGGGGCUAAUACCGGAUAGGAGCUCCUGCUGCAUGGUGGGGGUUGGAAAGUUUCGGCGGUUGGGGAUGGACUCGCGGCUUAUCAGCUUGUUGGUGGGGUAGUGGCUUACCAAGGCUUUGACGGGUAGCCGGCCUGAGAGGGUGACCGGCCACAUUGGGACUGAGAUACGGCCCAGACUCCUACGGGAGGCAGCAGUGGGGAAUAUUGCACAAUGGGCGGAAGCCUGAUGCAGCAACGCCGCGUGCGGGAUGACGGCCUUCGGGUUGUAAACCGCUUUCGCCUGUGACGAAGCGUGAGUGACGGUAAUGGGUAAAGAAGCACCGGCUAACUACGUG